rnacentral:rRNA from 2 species
UUGACCUCGGAUCAGGUAGGGAUACCCGCUGAACUUAAGCAUAUAUU